rnacentral:rRNA from 1 species
UGCCCCGGUGUGGGGGAUACCCGCCAGAAAUGGCGGUUAAGACCGCAUACGAACGUCUGGCGAUGGCUGGAUGGGGAAAAGCCUUCGGGCUGCACUGGGAGGGGUCCGCGUCGGAUUAGCUAGUUGGUGGGGUAACGGCCUACCAAGGCUGCGAUCCGUAGCUGGUCUGAGAGGACGGCCAGCCACACUGGGACUGAGACACGGCCCAG